GAGAUUUGGUUAACUUUACUAAAAUGAGAAGAUACACAAGAAUCAUACACAGUCUUUUACAGCAUCAGAAAGACCCUUAUGAUUUUAACUUUGAUCCUGAGAUAUCUAAAGUUCUGCUGACAACAGAGUUGCCAGGAGAUGAGAAUGCUCUUUAUGAAUAUGUUGAUGAGCUUAGAGACUGUCCUUUAUCACCUUCUUCCUCAUCCUCCUCUUCCUCUGAACAAUAGAUAAAUGCAUUAUCAUUAUAACACUUCAUGUGUCUCAAACAUGUUAACUUUAUACUGUCUGUUUUAUUUUGUAUUUUAUUUGUCCAAAAUUUUUUUACCAUAUUUUA
rnacentral:misc_RNA from 1 species